GCGAAAGCCUGACCCAGCCAUGCCGCGUGCAGGAAGACGGCUCUAUGGGUUGUAAACUGCUUUUACUCGGGAAGAAUAAGGGUUACGUGUAACCCGAUGACGGUACCGAAAGAAUAAGCAUCGGCUAACUCCGUGCCAGCAGCCGCGGUAAUACGGAGGAUGCGAGCGUUAUCCGGAAUUAUUGGGUUUAAAGGGUCCGCAGGCGGACAGGUAAGUCAGUAGUGAAAAACCAGGGCUUAACCCCGGUCGUGCUACAGAAACUGCCUGACUAGAGAGAAGUUUGGCGGUUGGCGGAAUGUGACAAGUAGCGGUGAAAUGCAUAGAUAUGUCACAGAACACCGAUAGCGAAAGCAGCUGACGAAGACUAUAUCUGACGCUCAGGGACGAAAGCGUGGGGAGCAAACAGGAUUAGAUACCCUGGUAGUCCACGCAGUAAACGAUGGGUACCAUCUUUUUGUCCGCAAGGAUGAGAGGAUCAUCGAAAGAGAUAAGUACCCCACCUGGGGAGUACGUGCGCAAGCAUGAAACUCAAAGGAAUUGACGGGGGCCCGCACAAGCGGUGGAGCAUGUGGUUUAAUUCGAUGAUACGCGAGGAACCUUACCGGGGUUUAAAUGGGAUCUGAAUAACCUGGAAACAGGUUAGCCGCAAGGCAGAUUUCAAGGUGCUGCAUGGUUGUCGUCAGCUCGUGCCGUGAGGUGUUAGGUUAAGUCCUGCAACGAGCGCAACCCCCAUGAUCCGUUACUAACAGGUGAAGCUGAGGACUCAGAUCAGACUGCCGGCGUAAGCCGCGAGGAAGGUGGGGAUGACGUCAAAUCAUCACGGCCCUUACAUCCCGGGCUACACACGUGUUACAAUGGCCGGUACA
rnacentral:rRNA from 1 species